rnacentral:rRNA from 1 species
GUGGCGCACGGGUGAGUAACGCAUGGGAACAUACCAAUAGGUGGGGAAUAACAGUUGGAAACGACUGCUAAUACCGCAUAGUCUCUUCGGAGUAAAUGAGGCCUCUACUUGUAAGCUACAGCCUAUUGAUUGGCCCAUGUCGCAUUAGCUUGUUGGCGGGGUAACGGCCCACCAAGGCUACGAUGCGUAGCUGGUCUGAGAGGAUGAUCAGCCACACUGGAACUGAGACACGGUCCAGACUCCUACGGGAGGCAGCAGUGGGGAAUAUUGCACAAUGGGCGCAAGCCUGAUGCAGCAACGCCGCGUGGGUGAAGAAGGCUCUUGGGUCGUAAAGCCCUUUCGUUAGUGAAGAAGUGCUUUGAGUCGAAUAGGCUUAGAGUGUGACGGUAACUAAAUAAGAAGCACCGGCUAAUUUCGUGCCAGCAGCCGCGGUAAUACGAAAGGUGCAAGCGUUGUUCGGAAUAACUGGGCGUAAAGCGCUCGUAGGCGGGACUUCAGGCCGAUUGUGAAAGCCCAGGGCUCAACCUUGGAAUUGCAGUCGGAACCGUUGUUCUUGAAUACCUGAGAGGGUGGGGGAAUUCCUAGUGGAGAAGUGAAAUUCGUAGAAAUUAGGAGGAACACCAGAGGCGAAGGCGCCUACCUGGCAGUGUAUUGACGCUGAGGAG